UGCUUUUCCAUUAACUUUAUCACCCAUAUUUCCGAGAAGAGAGACAGAAUGUGUCUGUCUCUCUUCUCGGAAAUAUGGGUGAUAAAGUUAAUGGAGAAGCA